ACUUAAGCAUAUCAAUAAGCGGAGGAAAAGAAACCAACAGGGAUUGCCCCAGUAACGGCGAGUGAAGCGGCAACAGCUCAAAUUUGAAAUCUGGCCUCGGCCCGAGUUGUAAUUUGCAGAGGAUGUUUUCGGCGCGGCGCCUCCCGAGUCCCCUGGAACGGGGCGCCACAGAGGGUGAGAGCCCCGUAUGGUAGGACGCCUAGCCUGUGUAAAGCUCCUUCGACGAGUCGAGUAGUUUGGGAAUGCUGCUCAAAAUGGGAGGUAAAUUCCUUCUAAAGCUAAAUACCGGCCAGAGACCGAUAGCGCACAAGUAGAGUGAUCGAAAGAUGAAAAGCACUUUGAAAAGAGGGUCAAACAGCACGUGAAAUUGUUGAAAGGGAAGCGCUCGUGACCAGACUUGCGCCGGGCCGAUCAUCCGGUGUUCUCACCGGUGCACUCGGCCCGGCUCAGGCCAGCAUCGGUUUUCGCGGGGGGACAAAAGCCCGGGGAACGUGGCUCCCCCGGGAGUGUUAUAGCCCCGGGCACAAUACCCUCGCGGGGACCGAGGACCGCGCUCUGCAAGGAUGCUGGCGUAAUGGUCACCAGCGACCCGUCUUGAAACACGGACCAAGGAGUCAAGGUUUUGCGCGAGUGUUUGGGUGUGAAACCCGCACGCGUAAUGAAAGUGAACGCAGGUGAGAGCUUCGGCGCAUCAUCGACCGAUCCUGAUGUCCUCGGAUGGAUUUGAGUAAGAGCGUAAUGCCUUGGACCCGAAAGAUGGUGAACUAUGCCUGGAUAGGGUGAAGCCAGAGGAAACUCUGGUGGAGGCUCGCAGCGGUUCUGACGUGCAAAUCGAUCGUCAAAUCAGGGCAUGGGGGCGAAAGACUAAUCGAACCAUCUAGUAGCUGGUUACCGCCGAAGUUUCCCUCAGGAUAGCAGUGUUGAUCUUCAGUUUUAUGAGGUAAAGCGAAUGAUUAGGGACUCGGGGGCGCUAUAUUGCCUUCAUCCAUUCUCAAACUUUAAAUAUGUAAGAAGCCCUUGUUGCUUAGCUGAACGUGGGCAUUCGAAUGUACCAACACUAGUGGGCCAUUUUUGGUAAGCAGAACUGGCGA
rnacentral:rRNA from 1 species